rnacentral:rRNA from 1 species
UACGUAGGGUGCAAGCGUUGUCCGGAAUUAUUGGGCGUAAAGAGCUCGUAGGCGGUUUGUUGCGUCGGCUGUGAAAUCCCGAGGCUCAACCUCGGGUCUGCAGUCGAUACGAGCAAACUAGAGUGUUGCAGGGGAGACUGGAAUUCCUGGUGUAGCGGUGAAAUGCGCAGAUAUCAGGAGGAACACCGGUGGCGAAGGCGGGUCUCUGGGCCGAUAUUGACGCUGGAGGAGCGAAAGCGUGGGGAGCGAACAGG